AUGACUUAGUGACUAAAUAACAACAACUAGAGCCAGGGAGCCCUGUGCCACAACUGCUGGAGCCCACACUCCUCAACAAGAGAAGCCACCACAAUGAGAAGCCUGUAUCCCCCAAUUACAGAGUAGCCUCCACUUGCUGCAACUAGAGAAAAGCUUGAGCAGCAACGAAGACCCAGCAGAGUCAAAAUAAAUUUAAAAAUUAAGAAAUAAAUUAUAAAAACAUUAAAUAAUAGUAAUUAUGAAGGUGACCAAUGUCACAGGAUUUUAUAAGGAUGGACAAAAAUAAAAGAGGAUGUCUUGGUCCGGCAAGGACAAGGCAGGCAAAGGAAUGCGCAGAAUGAACAGGGGACAGAAGGCCAUGGUAAAGAAACACAUCCAACCAGAACACAGAGUUCUUGAUCAAGACCAGGAUGGGAAAGGGUGAUGAAGGACCUCCUGUGCAGUGACCCGAGUACCUGGCCAAGCAGUAUUCUGAGCCAAGGAGUGACCUAUCAAAGACAACGGUCAAGCAAUUACGGCAGUGAUACAAAAACUAGAAGGAAAAUGAAUCUGGAGGCCCAUUCACCCAGGUUAAGAACCAUAGGCCCAGGCAAAGGAGCCCAGUCCUCCUUUUCUGAUAGACAAAGAUGUCUGCAUUCUAAUCCCCAUGAACCUGUGAGUAUGUUACCUUACAUCAUGAAAGGGACUUUGAAGUUAUGAUUAAAGUUAAGGACCCUGACAAGGACUAUCUCAGCUCAUCUGCGUGGGCCCAAUCUACACCGUGAGUGCCCAAAGUUAGAGAUCUUUUCAAGACCAGGGCCAGAGAAAUGACAGCAUGAGAAGGACUCGGCCUGACAUUACCUGCUUUGAAUAUGGAGAAACAAGGCCGAGAACCAAGAAACGUGGCAACUGGAAGAGGCAAGGAAGCAAGUUCUCCUCUAGAGCCUCCAUAAGGAACACCAACAUCUUGACUUCAGCCCAUGUCCAACUUCUGACCUCCAUAAGUGUCAGAUAAUCAAGUUGUGUUGUUUUAAGGCAGUAAGUCUGUGGCAAUUUGUUACAGCAGCAGUAGAAAACUAGAGCAUCUUUUGACCGUUUUUUUCUUACCAAGACCUUUACUAUAUACCAUCCUCUCAGACCUAUAUCCACCCACCACAAAGAGCUAUGGAGAGAUCUCUUGAGUUGAAUACAAACUCCCAACUGUGUGUAACUAUCACUGCUUUCAGAGAUUUAAAGUCACACGUGUGAGUAAGGGGGAAUUAGGAACCACUCUAGUUAGUGUACCUUUCACUAACAUCAACGUUAAGACUUCUUGUAUCACUUCUCCCAAAAACAGUGGGGAAUCUUGGAGCAAUCUACACCACUACAAUUACGGUAAUGUUUAAAAGUAUCUGUAUUAAAUGGAUAAAGAGGAUAUGUACCGUAUACACAGUGGGAUAGUACUCUGCCAUAAAAAAGAACGAAAUAACACCAUCUGUAGCAAUAUGGAUGGACCCAGAAAUUAUCUUACUAAGUCAAGUCUGAGAAAGACAAAUAUCACAUAUAUCAUUUAUAUGUGGAAUUUUUGUUUUUAAAAAAUGACACAAAUGACCUUAUUUACAAAACAGACUCAAGGACACAGAAAACAAACUAAUGGUCCAGUUCAGUUCAGUCACUCAGUCAUGUCCGACUCUUUGCGACCCCAU
ensembl:lncRNA